rnacentral:rRNA from 1 species
CGGGGUGAGUAAUGUCUGGGAAACUGCCUGAUGGAGGGGGGUAACUACUGGAAACGGUAGCUAAUACCGCAUAACGUCGCAAGACCAAAGAGGGGGACCUUCGGGCCUCUUGCCAUCGGAUGUGCCCAGAUGGGAUUAGCUAGUAGGUGGGGUAAUGGCUCACCUAGGCGACGAUCCCUAGCUGGUCUGAGAGGAUGACCAGCCACACUGGAACUGAGACACGGUCCAG